AAAGUCCCUCCAUGUAAAUCACAGUCCUGCUGUCUUCUGUGUUGGAACACAACAAUGCUGCUGGCUCUUUACCCUGCAUGUCUGUCUUCUCCACUCGAGGGAAGCUCCUGGUAUCUUACUCUUCUUUCAUUAUGCUGUACCAUCCUCCUUCAGUGGAUGCUCCUGUACAUGGCAGAGGGGGAAUCAAGCCAGUCUAACUGGCUUGAUUAAUAAUCAAGACAGGCUCUGCUCCUCAUAGGGAUACCAUUCAUCCUCUGGAGAGUGAAAAACUGAAAGAUAACACCUGAUGACAUAAGGUAGACAGGCCUGGAUGACAGUCUGAAUUCAAGCAGCUCAUCACCCAGCAUCGUGUUUCAGGCUUUAAGGAAAAUUACUAACACCGCAGACUGUGGAUGCACAGUCUCUGCACCCGAGAACAGUGCUCGGUACAAGGCAAGUGUUCCAAUUUGCAAGGCAAGAAGGAGUUCAUGGUUUUUAUGACUUAGCGUGGAAGCCAAACUAUCACUUUCACCAAAUUCAACGUAUUAACAGCAAGUCACCAACCAUUCAGGAAAAUGCAUUUUCCAGUAAAAGGCUGAGCAAUGACUACAUAUUCAUCAUUCAAAUAAGAAAAAGUGUCUAUGGACAGCGACUGAUAAGGUCCCUGAAACAGAAACCUCUGCUGCAUUUGCAGUGCAUGGGUCCUGUCGUGACCCACGCGUGACCAGCAUUAACCUGCACAUGCUCCGUUAUCUGUGUCGAACUUGACUGCCUAUUCAGCUUGGGCUCAGAAGGUGAUCACAGAGCACCCCUAAAGCCACCCAGAUCCUAGUAACCUAUUUUUGUCUGGAUUCAAUGCUGUCUUAGACUAGAAGAGUAGCUAGAGUCAAUGGAAAUAGUGCAUGAGCCAUAUACAUAAGUUGCAUUUUUUUAAAAACAGGGGCACUAAGGAAAUGUAAAAAUGAACAGGUAUUAAUAAUUUUAAAGUUUUAUUUAUUCUAAUACAUUCAAAAUGUCAUCCUCUAGAUGUAUAAUCAAUAUAAACGUUAUGAGAUAGCCUACUGAUUAAUCAAUACUCUGUUCUCUCUCUCACUCUUUCUCUCUGUAUUAUCUUUGAGAUUCUCUGAUUAGUUUAUGCUUACAUCUCAAUUGUGAUGCUAAAUUCGCAUCAGAAAUAUAUUAUCUGUGUUUAGAGUUCAUAAAGUUUAUAGCUCAAAAAUAGAUUUAUAUUCCUUAAGUUGUUCCAAAUGUAAUUAUUUUCUAAUAUAAUAAAAUGAGAAAAAAAAUGC
ensembl:antisense Gm42723 predicted gene 42723